GAUCUUGAAGAACAGAAUCCAAAAAGCCAUGUCCUAAUAGCAUAGAGACCUUGAGAUCCCAGACUUUAAGGCUAAUGGUGUGAUUGGAUGACACUUUCGGUGGUUCUGAAAGGGGGUAACUGUAUUAUGAUUGUAGGGCUGCAUGAAAAGUUCAUGAGUAGAGGACCAGAGGUGAGAGAUUGUAAAAAUGGCUACAAUUUUUUUUUUUUUUUAAUGGCUGCACAUUCUUCCUCUCCUGUAUCCAUACCAUCUUGCCAGUAUCUUAAUGGAUCUUGUUCGGGCUUGGCUUGAGCCUAAGCCUUGCUUUGGCCAAAGGGUUAAUUAAAAAAGGAUGUAAAGGGGUAAUGCAAAAGUUCUUGCAGAGUGAGGCUUGUCUUCUUUCCUGUUGCUCUUGUGAACUUUGGGAACGACAACACGCAAAAAAUCCCAGUUACCCUUGCUGGUCCAGCUCAAAGCCAACCAACCUCAACUUAGUGGCAACUGACCACAGAACUGACCACAGAAACAUGAGUGCUACCAACUGCCACCAGAAGCAGUGAAACCUAGCUGAGCCCAGUGAAAUUACCAACCCUCAGAAUCAUGAUUAAAUAAAUAUUUGUUGUUUUCA